rnacentral:lncRNA from 1 species
UAAAGACAUAGCUUCACCAUGUCAUUGAGGGGUAUCCCUGCUAAUGGCAGCAUCUCCACAUGGAGAAAUUAAAUAGCGGAGUGGAGUAAUGAUAGCUCUGUGUGUCUUGGGCCCUGCUUUUUAAAAUGCACCCCCCCCCCCCGCACUUUCUCAUGUACUUACUACCUUAGCCUAAAGGGUCUAUAAUUACUUCCUUUUCCCAGGUGGGAAACUGAGUGUUCCCAAAGAUAAGUCUAUCUCCCCAUCACAGCUGAAUUGGCACUCAAGUCACAUAGACAGCACAGAGGAGAUUACCGUGACGAGUAAUAAAAGCUGAGAGUCCGGCUGAGACAAGCAAAGCUGCCAAGACUCUGACACCAGACCAGCUGCCUGGGAGAGACUUAGACCAACUGAGGCACUUGGAAGGGACACUCUCCAACCUGCUGAACUGCCUGACGGCUGUACACUGUGCUUCUUGCAGGUUCCCAGCUUUUAUGAGCUGUCACCCAUGCUGGGUGGGCUUUGGUGAAGCAGCUGUCUCUGAGUCAUUCCUGCUCUUGUAAGUAACCCUUCACCCAUAUUCCUG